rnacentral:rRNA from 1 species
GACAGAGGGUGCAAACGUUGUUCGGAAUUACUGGGCGUAAAGGGCGUGUAGGCUGCCGCUCAAGUCGGGUGUGAAAUCCCGCGGCUCAACCGCGGAAGUGCAUCCGAUACUGAGUGGCUGGAGUCUCGGAGAGGAAGGUGGAAUGCUUGGUGUAGAGGUGAAAUUCGUAGAUAUCAAGCGGAACACCGGUGGCGAAGGCGGCCUUCUGGACGAUGACUGACGCUGAGACGCGAAAGCGUGGGGAGCAAACAGG